GGUACAAAAUGGCCAAUUCAUUCAAUGAAUUGAGAAAUGACAUUCUAAGUGAGUUAGGAUGCCACGACAAUUGUAGAACACACAGUGUUUAACAAGUAACCAAUGAGAAUUUCUGAUCUAUCAAUCAGUUGGU
rnacentral:rRNA from 1 species